UAGGGAAUCUUCGGCAAUGGACGAAAGUCUGACCGAGCAACGCCGCGUGAGUGAAGAAGGUUUUCGGAUCGUAAAACUCUGUUUUUAGAGAAGAACAAGGACGUUAGUAACUGAACGUCCCCUGACGGUAUCUAACCAGAAAGCCACGGCUAACUACGUGCCAGCAGCCGCGGUAAGACGUAGGUGGCAAGCGUUGUCCGGAUUUAUUGGGCGUAAAGCGAGCGCAGGCGGUUUCUUAAGUCUGAUGUGAAAGCCCCCGGCUCAACCGGGGAGGGUCAUUGGAAACUGGGAGACUUGAGUGCAGAAGAGGAGAGUGGAAUUCCAUGUGUAGCGGUGAAAUGCGUAGAUAUAUGGAGGAAAACCAGUGGCAAAGGCGGCUCUCUGGUCUGUAACUGACGCUGAGGCUCGAAAGCGUGGGGAGCAAACAGG
rnacentral:rRNA from 1 species